rnacentral:rRNA from 1 species
UACGUAGGUGGCGAGCGUUACUCGGAGUUACUGGGCGUAAAGGGUCCGUAGGUGGCCAAUUAAGUCUGAGGUGAAAGCCUGCAGCUCAACUGCAGAACUGCCUUGGAAACUGGAUGGCUAGAGUGCAGGAGAGGUAAGUGGAAUUUGUGGUGUAGCGGUGGAAUGCGUGGAUAUCACAAGGAACACCAGAGGCGAAAGCGGCUUACUGGACUGCAACUGACACUGAGGGACGAAAGCCAGGGGAGCAAAAAGG